GCUGCAAGAUCCCAAGAAAAAAGAGGAAAACAAUACGAUUAAGUCCGAGAAAACCUGAGAAAACAACAAAUUUCACUUUUUCAGUGGAUUUUAAUAAUCACCUUCAAUCUCUGAGCAAGUUCCUUGGUGUGCAAAACAUUGGCGAGCUUCGAGACAGCAUAAGCACGUGUCGCAUCGUAUUGACUGGAGACACCGACACAAAUUUUCAGAAAAGCCCCAGAUAACGGAUUACGUCGCCGGAAAACCAGCUGUGAAUGGUCGACGAUACGUUCACGAUGCGACCUUGAACGCCGGUCUUUUUCGCCGUUUCGAUCAUCUUAUUUAGCAACAGUUUGGUCAAUAGAAAAUGACCUGAGAAAUUCAUUGAAAAUGUAUAUAUAUUACUUAGCUCAAAUAAAUUGAAUAAAUAAUAAUUUCAGUUUUUUUCUUCAAUUUUUACCUAGAUAAUUGGUAGCAAAGGUCAUCUCGAUUCCAUCUUCGGAGAUAGCAUGCUCGUGAGUGAACUUCCCGGCGUUGUUUCUGAGAUCAAAGAAAAGAUAAUCAGAUUGUACGAGGGAAACAUACAAGCUCAUUUUUCACUACUUGCUGCAACGAAGUACGAAAAUCUGGAAUGGUUUCAUUUUCUCAGGAACCAAACAGAGGCAAAACUUCGGUUUUUGGAGCUUACAUGAGGAGAUUGAGCGGCAAAUCCAGAGACUCGAACUCCAAAACGAAGCAUCGAACCGAGUCGAGCGAACUAAGAUCGAGAGCCAUGACGACGAUCUCCGAAUUGGGAAACUCCGCCACAAUACGAGCCUUCGCUUCCUCCGCAGCCUUCAGGCUCCGCGCCGGCAGCACCAGCCUCGCCCCGCGCUUCGCCAGCACCCGGGCCGUCUCCGCCCCUAUCCCCGACGUCGCACCUGGAAAUUGAACAACCCCAUCAUCAUCAGUUAAACAAACAACGAUUUUCAACUCAUCAUGCAAUGGAAAUCAACCAUUAUUGUUGAGCAAACUCACCAGUAAUGACAGCAGUGAUGGAGCCCAGAUCGGGGCAGUUCUCAGUUACCUCUUCGGCUGUGGACUUGGAGCCAUACCCACUUGCUCCGAAUGAGCCGAGGAGGUAUUUCAGAGCAUCAAGCAUUUGUCAAAGCUAAGGUACGUAUUUGCAGUUUGUCAGGUUUUUGCAGGCGAUGAGGCUCUGCAGUUUACCUUUUUCUUUUUCAGAGGGAGACGUUAAAAAAAAAAGAUUGGAAAGGUUUGGAAGGUGAUUCGUGAAGAGAAAGCGUGGAUUGGGAUGAGAUUUUAUAAUGGAUGGAGUGGAGAGUGGGGGAUUGGAUGUUUGUCAUUCAUUGACGAAGAUGAAAACCUUGCAUGAUUGGGGCGAAAGGGCCGAUAAAUGUGGGUGAAGAGUCCGAAGAAAACGACACCGUUUUGUUUCUGAGCCAUUUGAGAUUCAGAAGCAUAGUAGGUCGGACGGAGAAGGGUCGGCGAUUAAUUAAAUGCAACGGAAGCAAAGUACGAGCGUCGAUGCAGAGAGAUUGGAAUCGCGGAAAGGGAAUCGCACGUGAGGCUAGCGAUUCAAAAAUUCAACAGAUCGGUCAAUCCUACGGCCUCGAAUCUGCCACUCUUUUUUACCAGACAAUCAUUACCGUUGAAACCCUUGGAGCAAAAUGACAACCAUACCCCUCCCCCUUCAACUCUGUCAGGUACCCUCUCACUCCACAUUAACUCGUUCUAAUCAUGAUUGGACCUUGAUACCUCACUUUUUGAGUCUUCUUUUUGGAUGGUCAUUUAUUAUUAUUAUGAUUAAUAAUAAAUUAAUGAGGAGGUGAAGUUAUAAUCAAAACUGAUAAUGUGAGGGGCACGUUUGUUAAUUGUUAAUUGGAGAUGUGAAGAAAAAGGUGGGUGGGUCCAUGAAAAAGUGGUGCAAAAGAAGUCACGAAAUUUCAGCUUUUUGGAGCACUUCUCUAGGCCCCGUGCCCUCUCAUAUGCCCGGACCGGACCGGACCUUCUCCCAUCAUAUGAUUCAUAUCCCUUUAUCCACAUCUCAUCUCUUACAUUCACCUGACUCCCUCCCUUGGUUCAUCACCCUUACUCUUCAUUUCUUUUUCUCCAA